rnacentral:rRNA from 1 species
GCUCAAUAUAUAAGUGUGUUAUUCUGUGAAAUAACUCAAAUUUCAAACCAUUCAUUUGCUAGAACUACUCAUGCUAUGGACGUGGGAGCAUCAACUCCAUUCCUUUGGGCUUUUGAGGAGCAAAAGAAAGAAAUUAAUAUCUAUGAAAGAGUCCGGGGAGCCACUAUGCAUGCUAGUUUCAGACGACUUGGUGGAGUGGCACGACAUCUGUCUCUUGGCCUAUGUCGAGAUAUUGAUUCCUCCACAGAACAAUUUGCCUCACGCAUGGACGAAUUAGAAGAGAUGUCAACCAACAACCGUAUCCGGAAACAAUGAUUAGUGGAUAUUGGUACUGUCACUGCACAAGAAGCAAAUGAUUGGGGAUUCAGUGGUGUAAUAUUAAGAGGUCGUGCGACAUGA